GGGUUGUGAGGUUAAGCGACUAAGCGUACACGGUGGAUGCCCUGGCAGUCAGAGGCGAUGAAGGACGUGCUAAUCUGCGAUAAGCGUCGGUGAGGUGAUAUGAACCGUUAUAACCGGCGAUUUCCGAAUGGGGAAACCCAGUGUGUUUCGACACACUAUCAUUAACUGAAUCCAUAGGUUAAUGAGGCGAACCGGGGGAACUGAAACAUCUAAGUACCCCGAGGAAAAGAAAUCAACCGAGAUUCCCCCAGUAGCGGCGAGCGAACGGGGAGGAGCCCAGAGCCUGAAUCAGUGUGUGUGUUAGUGGAAGCGUCUGGAAAGGCGCGCGAUACAGGGUGACAGCCCCGUACACAAAAAUGCACAUAUUGUGAGCUCGAUGAGUAGGGCGGGACACGUGGUAUCCUGUCUGAAUAUGGGGGGACCAUCCUCCAAGGCUAAAUACUCCUGACUGACCGAUAGUGAACCAGUACCGUGAGGGAAAGGCGAAAAGAACCCCGGCGAGGGGAGUGAAAAAGAACCUGAAACCGUGUACGUACAAGCAGUGGGAGCCUCUUAAUGGGGUGACUGCGUACCUUUUGUAUAAUGGGUCAGCGACUUAUAUUCUGUAGCAAGGUUAACCGAAUAGGGGAGCCGAAGGGAAACCGAGUCUUAACUGGGCGUUAAGUUGCAGGGUAUAGACCCGAAACCCGGUGAUCUAGCCAUGGGCAGGUUGAAGGUUGGGUAACACUAACUGGAGGACCGAACCGACUAAUGUUGAAAAAUUAGCGGAUGACUUGUGGCUGGGGGUGAAAGGCCAAUCAAACCGGGAGAUAGCUGGUUCUCCCCGAAAGCUAUUUAGGUAGCGCCUCGUGAAUUCAUCUCCGGGGGUAGAGCACUGUUUCGGCAAGGGGGUCAUCCCGACUUACCAACCCGAUGCAAACUGCGAAUACCGGAGAAUGUUAUCACGGGAGACACACGGCGGGUGCUAACGUCCGUCGUGAAGAGGGAAACAACCCAGACCGCCAGCUAAGGUCCCAAAGUCAUGGUUAAGUGGGAAACGAUGUGGGAAGGCCCAGACAGCCAGGAUGUUGGCUUAGAAGCAGCCAUCAUUUAAAGAAAGCGUAAUAGCUCACUGGUCGAGUCGGCCUGCGCGGAAGAUGUAACGGGGCUAAACCAUGCACCGAAGCUGCGGCAGCGACACUAUGUGUUGUUGGGUAGGGGAGCGUUCUGUAAGCCUGUGAAGGUGKMCUGUGAGGKWUGCUGGAGGUAUCAGAAGUGCGAAUGCUGACAUAAGUAACGAUAAAGCGGGUGAAAAGCCCGCUCGCCGGAAGACCAAGGGUUCCUGUCCAACGUUAAUCGGGGCAGGGUGAGUCGACCCCUAAGGCGAGGCCGAAAGGCGUAGUCGAUGGGAAACAGGUUAAUAUUCCUGUACUUGGUGUUACUGCGAAGGGGGGACGGAGAAGGCUAUGUUGGCCGGGCGACGGUUGUCCCGGUUUAAGCGUGUAGGCUGGYUUUCCAGGCAAAUCCGGAAAAUCAAGGCUGAGGCGUGAUGACGAGGCACUACGGUGCUGAAGCGACAAAUGCCCUGCUUCCAGGAAAAGCCUCUAAGCAUCAGGUAACAUCAAAUCGUACCCCAAACCGACACAGGUGGUCAGGUAGAGAAUACCAAGGCGCUUGAGAGAACUCGGGUGAAGGAACUAGGCAAAAUGGUGCCGUAACUUCGGGAGAAGGCACGCUGAUAUGUAGGUGAAGCGACUUGCUCGUGGAGCUGAAAUCAGUCGAAGAUACCAGCUGGCUGCAACUGUUUAUUAAAAACACAGCACUGUGCAAACACGAAAGUGGACGUAUACGGUGUGACGCCUGCCCGGUGCCGGAAGGUUAAUUGAUGGGGUUAGCGGUAACGCGAAGCUCUUGAUCGAAGCCCCGGUAAACGGCGGCCGUAACUAUAACGGUCCUAAGGUAGCGAAAUUCCUUGUCGGGUAAGUUCCGACCUGCACGAAUGGCGUAAUGAUGGCCAGGCUGUCUCCACCCGAGACUCAGUGAAAUUGAACUCGCUGUGAAGAUGCAGUGUACCCGCGGCAAGACGGAAAGACCCCGUGAACCUUUACUAUAGCUUGACACUGAACAUUGAGCCUUGAUGUGUAGGAUAGGUGGGAGGCUUUGAAGUGUGGACGCCAGUCUGCAUGGAGCCGACCUUGAAAUACCACCCUUUAAUGUUUGAUGUUCUAACGUGGGCCCCUUACCGGGGUUGCGGACAGUGUCUGGUGGGUAGUUUGACUGGGGCGGUCUCCUCCUAAAGAGUAACGGAGGAGCACGAAGGUUGGCUAAUCCUGGUCGGACAUCAGGAGGUUAGUGCAAUGGCAUAAGCCAGCUUGACUGCGAGCGUGACGGCGCGAGCAGGUGCGAAAGCAGGUCAUAGUGAUCCGGUGGUUCUGAAUGGAAGGGCCAUCGCUCAACGGAUAAAAGGUACUCCGGGGAUAACAGGCUGAUACCGCCCAAGAGUUCAUAUCGACGGCGGUGUUUGGCACCUCGAUGUCGGCUCAUCACAUCCUGGGGCUGAAGUAGGUCCCAAGGGUAUGGCUGUUCGCCAUUUAAAGUGGUACGCGAGCUGGGUUUAGAACGUCGUGAGACAGUUCGGUCCCUAUCUGCCGUGGGCGCUGGAGAACUGAGGGGGGCUGCUCCUAGUACGAGAGGACCGGAGUGGACGCAUCACUGGUGUUCGGGUUGUCAUGCCAAUGGCACUGCCCGGUAGCUAAAUGCGGAAGAGAUAAGUGCUGAAAGCAUCUAAGCACGAAACUUGCCCCGAGAUGAGUUCUCCCUGACUCCUUGAGAGUCCUGAAGGAACGUUGAAGACGACGACGUUGAUAGGCCGGGUGUGUAAGCGCAGCGAUGCGUUGAGCUAACCGGUACUAAUGAACCGUGAGGCUUAACCUUACAACGCCGAAG
rnacentral:rRNA from 1 species